rnacentral:lncRNA from 1 species
CCAAGAGGAGGCCAGCAUAACUCGUGUUGAUUAACUGCUUGAUGUUUACUAUUAGGAACUGCUGCUCGAGGUUUCUUGCAUCACCCAUAGGGAGACCUCUAUGACAUGACACCAGCCUUAAGUGGGCUCAGGAAAAGGCAAUUUGUUGCCAACUUCAGCACCUCAGGGCUGCGUUUGAACACAGGUGGGAUAAAUUGUUUUCCUUGCCUGUGUGAGAUGUCGAACCUACUCAAGACUAUUUUGCUGCAUGGAAAACCCUGGACACUUGAUACCACAGAAAUGAGGAAAAAUUCUGGGCAGAGCUUCUUUGCUUCUCAACAAGUGCAACAAAAUGUUUCCCAUUUCUAAUAAACAAGGGUUAUUCUUCACUUUGGGUUACCACAUCCCUACUAGGCUGCCAACAAAACCAAAACACUCCAUCACCCAGCAGUGUGCAGUUGCUAAAUAUCCCCAUCACUGACACUGGCACCUUUUCCAGGCCAAAAGGGCAUCAGCCGUGGAGAGCUGUGCAGAUGCUGACUGCAGCACAGCGCCCUGUAAGCACUCAAUUAGCCCGGCCGCUUGUGCUCAACCUCUCAAGCACUCGGUGGAAGUAAAAUGCUUACACGAUCCCUCUGCCUACAAGGCCUUGAAAUCUUUAGGGGGCCUGGCUUUGCUGCCUGGUUUUCCAUUGACAGGCUGAUAGAGACAUCACAAAUCUCUCCAAAGGCCAGUCACUAGGCUUCUUUCAACAUCAAAGGUGUCAAUGUUCACUCUGCCUCGGAGCCUGGGGCAGUAUAAAUCACACAUGAAUAUGUGAACUGAGUGUUUGAGGUUAAACUCGCUCUGUAUAUACAAAUAUUUCUCCUUGAGUAACUGGUAUUAUUGUACUGUUUCCUCAUCAAUGUCAAAUAUUUUCUAUAAAUCAUAAUAUUCCAAUGGAAAACAAAGCUUUUUAUAGGUGAAAAGGGGGAAAAAAACGAUGAACCAGGGUGUUGUGGGAAAAGAAUAACUGAUUUUAAAUAUACAUUGCCAUUUUCUUGGAAGAAAAAGCAGUGAACUGAGGAGUUUUUUGUUGCGCUCUGUCAACAUCCAUCAUUAGGUUAAUGUUCUCUUGGACUGAAU